rfam:Arabidopsis lyrata subsp. lyrata unplaced genomic scaffold ARALYscaffold_1, whole genome shotgun sequence.
GUCGAUGAUGAUCUAAUCCAAUCUUACGAGGUGCAGUGGAGCUGAGACCCUGUUUUCAGGGAGAACCCCUUGGCAGAAGCUGCAAUUUCUAUGACUUGUAUGGAUUUUACUGAGAC